AUUCUGGUUGAUCCUACCAGUGAUAUACGCUCGUCUCAAAGGUUAAGCCAUGCAUGUCUAAGUACAAGCUUCCUAGAAAGUGAAACCGCAUAAGGCUCAGUAUAAC
rnacentral:ncRNA from 1 species